rnacentral:rRNA from 1 species
GGUAUGUAAAGCUCUAUCAGCAGGGAAGAUAAUGACGGUACCUGACUAAGAAGCACCGGCUAAAUACGUGCCAGCAGCCGCGGUAAUACGUAUGGUGCAAGCGUUAUCCGGAUUUACUGGGUGUAAAGGGAGCGCAGGCGGUGCGGUAAGUCUGAUGUGAAAGCCCGGGGCUCAACCCCGGUACUGCAUUGGAAACUGUCGUACUAGAGUGUCGGAGGGGUAAGCGGAAUUCCUAGUGUAGCGGUGAAAUGCGUAGAUAUUAGGAGGAACACCAGUGGCGAAGGCGGCUUACUGGACGAUAACUGACGCUGAGGCUCGAAAGCGUGGGGAGCAAACAGGAUUAGAUACCCUGGUAGUUCACGCCGUAAA